UUUUUAUCUUUUACAAAAAUCUUCUCCUCUGAAACUACUAAGAUGAAUUUAACUAAAGUUGUAAACAAUCAUCAUUAGGGUAUGUAGUUUAAAAAUUGUGUUUGAUGACCCCGCCCUCAAACCAAGAUGGCCGACAUGGCUAAUAAUAGUACAUAGGGUAAAAUGCAGUUUUUGACUCAUAUAUCUAAACCCAAAGCAUUUUUAGCAAAUCUUUCAAAAACAAAAUUGUUCAUUAGGUCAAGAUCUAUCUGCCCUUAAAUUUUCAGACCAUUCAGGCAACCCGUUGUUGGGUUGCUGCCCCUGAAUUGGUAAUUUUUAGAAAUUUUUUCAGCUUUUGGUUAUCUUGAAUAUUAUUAUAGAUAGAGAUAAACUGUAAAGAGCAAUAAUGUACAGCAAAGUAAGACCUACAAAUAAGUCACAUGACCAAAAUGGUCAAUUGACCCCUUAAGGAGUUAUUGCCCUUUAUAAUAAAUUUUUAACAAUUUUCAUAAAUUUUGUAAAUUUUUACAAAAUAAUUUCCACUGAAACUACAGGGCCAAGUUCAUUAUAGAUAGAGAUAAUUGUAAGCAUCAAGAAUGUUCAGUAAAGUAAGAUCUACAAACACAUCACCAUCACCAAAACACAAUUUUGUCAUGAAUCCACCUGUGUCCUUUGUUUAAUAUGCACAUAGACCAAGGUGAGCGACACAGGCUCUUUAGAGCCUCUAGUUUUUAUACGACCGCAAAAAUUAAAAAUUUUUUGGUCGUAUAUUGGUAUGACGUUGGCGUCGUCGUCGUCGUCGUCGUCGUCGUCCGGCGUCGUCCGAAGACACAUUGGUUUUCGCACUCUAACUUUAGUUUAAGUGAAUGGAUCUCCAUGAAAUUCCACCAUAAGGUUCAAUACCACAAAAGGAAGGUUGGGAUUGAUUUUGGGGGUUAUGGUACCAACAGUUAAGGAAUUAGGGGCCAAAAAGGGGCCAAAAAUAAGCAUUUUUGUAACUUUCAGACAAUAACUUGUGUGUAAGUGUAUGGAUCUCUCUGACAUUGUACCACAAGGUUCCAUAUCACAAAGGGAAGGCUGUAAUUGAUUUUGGGGGUAAUUGCCUCAAAAUUUUAGGAAUUAGGGGCCAAAAAAGGGGCAAAAAACAAGCAUUUUUCUAGUUUCAUGACAAUAACUUGUGUGUAAGUGUUUGGAUAUUUCUGAAAUUGUACUACAAGGUUCCAUAUCACAAAGGGAAAGCUGGAAUUGAGUUUGGGGGUAAUUGCCCGAAACGUUUAGGAAUUGGGGGCCAAAAAGGGGCCAAAAAUAAGCAUUUUUCUAGUUUCCAGACAAUAACUUGUGUUCAAGUGUAUGGAUCUCUCUGAAAUUGUACUGCAAGGUACCAUACCACAAAGGGAAGGCUGGGAUUGAAUUUGGGGGUGAUGAAUCAUAAGGGGGUUCAAAAAAUUUGGGGGGGGAUUUUUUUUUUUUUUUUUUUUUCUUUUUUUCCUUUUUUUUUCUUUUAAAAUUUUCCAUUUUAAGUUGGUUAUUUCUGAUUUAUAUUUAAAAGCAAAUAAUAAUGAUAUGGUAGGAGAUACACACCAAACAGGAUGUGUAAAUUAUCAUAUAAUAAGUAUUGUGCAAUAGCAAGAAAUUUUCAAUUGCACAGUAUUGCACAAUAGCAAGAAAUCUUCAAUUGCACAGUAUUGCGCAAUAGCAAGAAAUCUUCAAUUUAACAGUAUUGCGCAAUAGCAAGAAAUAUCCAAUAGCACAAUAUUGCGCAAUAGCAAGAAAUUGUCAAUUGUACAGUAUUGCGCAAUAGCAAGAAAUAUUCAAUUGCACAGUAUUGUGCAAAAGAAGAUACUUCGUAUAAAUUGCUUAUUUCUUGAUCAAUUUCAAUGGGGUUUUAUUCUUGAAUUCUUGGGGUUCUUUAAUAUGCUGAAUCUAACCGUGUAUUAAGUUUUUGGAUUUUGGGCCCCGUUUUUAAAUUGGUCCACAUUGAGGUCCAAAGGGUCCAAAAUUAAACUUUGUUUGAUUUCAUCAAAAAUUGAAUUAUUGGGGUUCUUUGAUAUGCCGAAUCUAACCAUGUAUUUAGAUUUUUAAUUUUGGGUCCCGUUUUUUAAAUUUGUCUACAUUAAGGUCCAAAGGGUCCAAAAUUGAACUUAGUUUGAUUUUAACAAAAAUUGAAUUCUUAGGGUUCUUUGAUAUGCUGAAUCUAAACAUGUGUCUAGAUUUUUGAUUAUGGGCCCAGUUUUCAAGUUGGUCCAAAUUGGGGUCCAAAAUUAAACUUUGUUUGAUUUCAACAAAAAUUGAAUAUAUGGGGUUCUUUGAUAUGCUGAAUCUAAACAUGUAUUUAGAUUUUAGAUUUUUGGCCCAGUUUUCAAGUUGGUCCAAAUUGGGGUCCAAAAUUAAACUUUGUUUGAUUUCAACAAAAAUUGAAUAUAUGGGGUUCUUUGACAUGCUGAAUCUUACCAUGUAUUUAGAUUUUUUAUUUGUGGGCCCGCUAUCAAAUUGGUUCAUAUUGAGGUCAAAAGGGUCCAAAAUUAAACUUUGUUUGAUUUCAUCAAAAAUUGAAUUAUUGGGGUUCUUUGAUAUGCCAAAUCUAACCGUGUAUUUAGAUUUUUAAUUUUGGGUCCUGUUUUUUAAAUUGGUCUACAUUAAGGUCCAAAGGGUCCAAAAUUAAACUUAAGUUUGAUUUUGACAAAAAUUGAAUUCUUGGGGUUCUUUGAUAUGCUGAAUCUAACCGUGUAUGUACUUAGAUUUUGGAUAUUGGACCAUAAUAGGUAAAUUAAAAAAAUUUAAGUUCUUAGACCACAUUCAUUCUGUGUCAGAAACCUAUGCUGUGUCAAAUAUUUAAUCACAAUCCAAAUUCAGAGCUGUAUCAAGCUUGAAUGUUGUGUCCAUACUUGCCCAAACUGUUCAGGGUUCGACCUCUGCGGUCGAAUCAAGCUGCACCCAGCGGAGCAUUUUAUUUUUACAAGUCAUUGAAUAUGUUUUUUAGGUGAUACCUGUAGUAAAAAUUUAAGGACUAUCACCAAUAAAUCAAUGAUGGUCAGAAAAGCAGGCCUGACAAUUAAAUGGUUAGGUUUGAUUUCCUUUGUAAUAAAAAGGAAAAGAAGCUGAACAUCAAGCAACCCUCAUUUUCAUGGUUCAGUGGUCGAAGUUAAGUUUUUGAGUUUUGGUCUUUUUUUCUAAUACUAUAUGCAAUAGUUCAACUAUAUUUGGUGUAUGAAAAUAUUUUAUGAUCUAAAUGUCAGUCACGCAGGUUCUAUUUGACCUUGACCUCAUUUUCAAGGUUCAUUGCUCAGUGUUAAGUUUUUGUGUUUUGGUCUGUUUUUCUUAAACUAUAAGCAAUAGGUCAACCAUAUUUGUUGUAUGGAAGAAUUGUUAGCUGUACAUGCCUGCCUAACAUGGUUCAUCUGACCUUGACCUCAUUUUCAUGGUUCAUUGUUCAAUGACUAGUUUACUUGGUUAAUGUUAAGUUUAUGUGACAGUUGUAAUAAAGCUUUAUAUUUAGGACUAUCAACAUAAUAUCAAUGAUUAGUAAAGAAGGCGAGACAUUUCAGCUUGUGCACUCUUGUUUAAAUCAUGGAAGUAUUAUAUUGACAGGAACUCCAACAAGCGGACUUCAAACGUUUAUAGUGCGAUGCCGCAAAAUCGUUAAGUAUUUGUUAAUAAUUAACUCGACAUGUCAUAUGGAUGCAUGGGUUCCGAUCAAAUUUUUGGAACCUCGUGAUUGAUCGUAAUUACGGAACAUACCGAAAUAACAGGAUGUGUACUUAAUUGUGAAGGAAACGACAUUAACCGACCAUGUCAGUUUUUCCGGUUUUGCUGCGUAAAAAAAAAUACAAAAUCCCCGCGACUGUUUUCACAAAAAAAAAAACAAA